rnacentral:rRNA from 14 species
GGAGGAAGGUGGGGAUGACGUCAAGUCCUCAUGGCCCUUACAGGCUGGGCUACACACGUGCUACAAUGGCGGUGACAGUGGGCAGCUACUUCGCGAGAAGAUGCUAAUCUCUAAAAGCCGUCUCAGUUCGGAUUGUUCUCUGCAACUCGAGAGCAUGAAGGCGGAAUCGCUAGUAAUCGCGGAUCAGCAUGCCGCGGUGAAUACGUUCCCAGGCCUUGUACACACCGCCCGUCGCACCAUGGGAGUUGGAUCAACCCGAAGCUAGUGCGCUAACUCGCAAGAGAGGCAGCUAACCACGGUGGGUUCAGCGACUGGGGUGAAGUCGGAACAAGGUAGCCGUAGGGGAACCUGCGGCUGGAUCACCUCCUU